rnacentral:misc_RNA from 1 species
GAAAUGCGAUAAGUAAUGUGAAUUGCAGAAUUCAGUGAAUCAUCGAAUCUUUGAACGCACCUUGCGCUCCUUGGUAUUCCAUGGAGCAUGCCUGUUUGAGUAUCAUGAAAUCUUCAAAGUAAAUCUUUUGUUAACUCAAUUGGUUUUUACUUUGGUAUUGGAGGUCUUUGCAGCUUCACACCUGCUCCUCUUUGUUCAUUAGCUGGAUCUCAGUGUUAUGCUUGGUUCCACUCGGCGUGAUAAGUUAUCUAUCGCUGAGGACACUGUAAAAGGUGGCCAAGGUAAAUGCAGAUGAACCGCUUCUAAUAGUCCAUUGACUUGGACAAUACUUUUAUGAUCUGAUCUCAAAUCAGGUAGGACUACCCGCUGAACUUAAGC